rnacentral:rRNA from 1 species
AACUUACGGUAACCGGGAACGGCUAAUACCGGAUAAUAUAUUGAACCGCAUGGUUCAAUAGUGAAAGACGGUUUUGCUGUCACUUAUAGAUGGAUCCGCGCCGCAUUAGCUAGUUGGUAAGGUAACGGCUUACCAAGGCAACGAUGCGUAGCCGACCUGAGAGGGUGAUCGGCCACACUGGAACUGAGACACGGUCCAGACUCCUACGGGAGGCAGCAGCC